CUCCUCCUCCUCCUUCUUUUUUUCCAGAAAGUAAGUAAAUUCAGUAAAAAGAUAGUAAGAAAGUAAGAAAAGAAUACUGAAUAUAGCCUGAGCCAAUUCUAGGAGGCUUGAACUUAGUUUUAAAUUGUAUCCCAGUAUUAAUAUUUAGUUUAUAUGGCACCGUAUUGUCCAUAACUUUACAAUGUAAAUUAUACUGUUUUAUUAGCUUUCCAAUUCUAUUUCUUCAUUAUCAAGUUCAAAAGUCUUUAGUGACUAAGGUUUCUGUCUACUUCUUUUUUUACAGCAUAAGGGAAAAGUUUACCUUGUUAGCUACUUCUUUUUAAUAUUUAAUAAUUAACUGAAUAUAUUUAAUAUAUAAUAACAAAUAAUUAAAUAGGGAUUUAAUAAUUAAAUAGGGAGUCCCAAUUUCUAUAUAUCCUGUUAAGAAGCUGUAUUUUUGGGUGGGAGCGGUAAUCCCAGCACUCAGGAGCCAGAAGAAGAAGGAUUGCUGCAAGUUCAAAGCCUGCUUGCUUUUUAUAGAGAGUAGCAUAGCCAGGUUAUAGAGUGAGACCCUAUCUUAGUUAGGGUUUCCAUUGCUGUGAACAGACACCAUGACCAAUGCAACUUUUAUAAGAGAUAGCAUUUAAUUGGGGUUGGCAUACAAUUUCAGAGUUCAGUUCAUUAUCAUCAUGGCAGGAGGCACAGCAGCAUCUAGGUUGACAUGGUGCUGGAAAAGGAGCUGAGAGUUCUACAUCUUGAUCCACUGGCAGCCACAAGGAGACUUUCAGUUUCACACUGGGUAGAUGUUGAGCAUAGGACCUCAAAGCCCACCCCCACAGUCACACACUUCCUCUACCAAGGCCAUACCUAUUCCAACAGUGUCACUCCCUGUGGGCCAAGCAUUCAAACACAUGGGACUAUGGGGACCAAACUUAUUCAAACCACUAUAGACCCUGUCUCAAAAACUAAAUAAAACUUAAAAAGUGAAACUGUAUUUUUGUGUUCAUGUCACAACUGGCUGUGCUGAGGAGAAAACUCACUAGCCAGUGGAUGCUCAGCAUUCCCUGUGCUUCUGCUGUGGGAUCUGUAGUUCACUGGAUUAAGGGUAGAGAGGCUCAGGGGUUAUUUUAGGCCCUGAGAAGUUCCUUGAUGAUGAAAGACACCAUUGCUAACAUUAUUCAUGAAAAGGCAGGAAAGGUCAUCUGUGGCUCACUCCAUGCUCUUUCAACGAUUGAUGGCUCCUCUGCAGAGGGCUGGCUGCUGAGAGACUGCACCCCGUGAAAGUGUGCAUGCCUGCUGCAUCUCAGAAACUAUCCAAAUGUUUCCUCAGUCUUUUCCCAUGGUGGACUUUGCUGUUGAUGGCCUUCAGACCUUCUCCUUCUCUACCCCCUCCCCAAGCAUCACUUUUUUCUUAGUGUUUUGGGAAAUUUAAUUCAUCUCAAGUUUUAACCUGUUGAGUUUUAUCCCCUGCUUCUUGGCACUUUUAUAAACCAUGGCUUUUUAGUGUUACCUAAGUUACUUAUUGCCUAAACCAAGAUUUUGUCCAUUUCCCUCUGAGGUGAUCUCUCUUGAUCUAAUCUUUUCAUUGAUUUAGCCAAUGUUCCUCCCAGGUUUCACUUCUGCUUCGCUUCAAACCCUUCCCUCUCUGUUAACUCUCUCUGUACACCAGGCUGGUCUUGAACUCACAGAGAUUCGGUUGCCUCUGCUUCCCGAAUGUCUCUUUCGUUUCUUAAUAUUUGGAUUUAGCUUCCUCUUCCAUUUAUUGACUAUUUGCUUGAAGAGUGACAGAGAUGCACAAGGAAGAGCCUUCCUUAGGAUGAUGAUGACUUCCUCAAGGUCAAAUCAAAUAAAGGGAAUCUAAAAGCAGAGAGAAGCAUGCUGGGAGGUAGCAGAGUUUGUUUUAAGGGACCAGAAGGAUAAGCUGGCAAAGCUUACUCUCUCUCUCUCUCUCUCUCUCUCUCUCUCUCUCUCUCUCUCCAGUGAGAAUGGGGAAGGACAAGGGUAGAGGAAAGUAUCAUAGGAUAUGGGACUAUUUAAAUUGAAAAGAAAUUGAGACAUGAAUGUUCAUUUGCAAAUGGAAGGAGCCUGGGCUAUUUCAAGCUGUGAGUUUAGGGUUGUAAGCUAAGUUGCAUGUACAAAAUGCAGGCAUGGGGGAACUAUCUCCCAAAUAUUUACAUCCCUAAGACUCAAUUCCGGCAUGUAGCUAAUUACAAAGUAAGCACGCAGAGUCUACAAGUUCACAUUGUGCCUGACGGUACCCAAGUGUGUGUAAGGGAAGUGGAGCCAGGCCAGGGAAUCACUGUUUCCAGGACUUGGCUUAACCCCUCAUGUGGGUGGUGUGGUGUGCCAAUACAGUGAGACCAAAACAAGCAACACUCAAAUGUUCACAUUUCCCAGAUUUGCCAUUUGCCGAGAUAAAAUGCUGUGGCUAUGAAAACAACUAAAGGCCACCAAAUUUACCAGGAGCAAUGCAUACAUUUAUAGAUAUUUGAAAAAAAAUCAAGAUUAGUUAUUUAUAGAAGUGAUUUAAAACUUAACUAUUUUUAAAACUGUGCAUAUAUUCUUUCGUUAACGUGUUAAAAAAAAAAAGCCAAGCCAAACGGAUGGCACACAUAGCUACCCUUCCUUCACACAUUACUGUAAAUAUGCACAUGCAUGUGUGGGCAUUCUUGUGAGUGUAAGCAUUCUUGUGUGGGUGGGGACGGGCGCCAUAUGUGAGGGGCUGUGCACAGCAUAGCAACACAACAGCUGCUUUUCUGAGCUUCUUUUCUCCAUCAGUCAUGCUGAUGACAGAUUGCUGGGAUCCUCAGAGAAGAACUGGAGACAUCCCCCACCCCCCACCCCUGAUCUAGAGGCCCCUUAAACAGCUACAGCUAUUCCUGUUGCCAACACACAGUUCUCUUUUCGUCCUGUCCACACCUAGUUUUCACCUUUCAGUGCUAAGUCUGAGCAAAUGCCAUGCAGAACGGACACAUCUGGGGACAGUUGUGUGGCUUUGGUUGUGCUCAGGGUCGACCUGGGAAGCCAGGCUUUCUGUCUGUAUUAUGGAUCCAUUCUCAUUCUCCUCUAUCUUCCUCCCUUUUGUCCUUCUCUCUUCCCCUCUCUCCCUCCUCCUUUCUUCCCUUCCUUCUGCUUCCUUUCCUGCCCUCUUUCCUUCUUUCUUUUCUCUCUAAUAAGAACAAGAGACAGAAACCAACCAUGCAGCUCAAUGCAGCAACCUGGAAAUCAGGAGUUCUGCCAUUUGACACAUCUUAGCCGGAGGCUGGACAGGUCCUUGGAUCUAUUAGCAGUGUUGUCCUGAGCAGAGGCUGGAAAUAGCAAGAGUGUUUAGGAGCACUGGUUUGCGCUUCUGGGUUUUUUCUUCUCCUUAUACAAAGCAACUUUGUUUUUGUAUUUUUCCUUGAGAAAUUCUUCAUGUUGUAGUCCUGGCCACCUCCCCCUGGAUCUUACUAUGUAGACCAGAAGGCCUGAAAGUCACAGGCAUCCAUCCACCUCUGCCUCCGGAGUGCUGAGAUGAAAGGCAUUCGUCACUUCACCCAGCUUCCACAGCAACUUUAAUGAGCCCAGCUGCCUGGAAAUUAUGUGGAUCCCUGAAACAUGUGCCCCAAACUCCAGACCAGACACUAGGUGGAUCAGUACCUGGUAGAUGGGGCAAGUGGACUGACCAGCAGCUCACAUCAUGUCUCCACACAGCAAAAGCUUAUUAAACCCGGGAGGGGCAACUCUCUGUGACAACUCCUCCUUGAGAGCCACUUCAGGGCUACACAGCUGCUUUGCCUUCUUCCUUAAUCUUUGGCUUUCUCUUACAGUGAGGGUCUGGUUAACCAUUACAUUCAUUCUUUGAAUUUAUAAGAUAAAGGACCUAGACACCACUAGUGGCUUUGGUGACCCUUAGUUAUGGGACAUCCUGGUUCUUUGAGCUAUUGUUCACCUGAGGAAUGAAAGGCUCUACUGUGCUCAAGGACCUGGUUCUCCCUCCUCUUCUCUUCCUUCUCUUUCUCCCACCUCCACCCCACCAGUCUUCCUAGCAGAGUUUUUGAAAGGCUGGCUUUCUGUUCCCCAGCCUGUAUGAUUCUGUCUCAGCCUCCUGACUCCUGGGAUCGCAGGCAUGUACCAACACACUGUCCCUGCCAGACAGUCUUACAUAAGUAUGUAAGGUGUAUUGUCAGAGUCUGUAAAGUAUCGACAGCUAAUAACAAGCGGAUUGAUAUUAAAAGAUAACGCAUUUCCCUUUCCAGGUAAAAUAUUUCCAUAAGUGUAGACUGAUUCUAGAAUAAAGCUUGUAAAGCCACCUAGUGCUGUUGCUAUGGUGUAUUGCUGUUGGGGAGAGCAGAUGUUUGAGUAAGACGGGCUCUUGAGGUCUCUGACGGCCUGCCACUCAGGCUCAGUUGCCCAUGAUUGAAGCCAUGCAGCAGAGACCUCCUCAUCAGCGAGGAGAGGAUGCUGUCUCAGAACUAUCAAGCACCUAUUGGCCUUCUCUCUCCAAUCAGUAGUGAUCCUCAGGAAACCUGUCUGCAUCUCUUUGCAGUAUAAGUUGAUCAAGGAGAUCACGGAAUGAAAGCAUCUGGACCAAGGAGUUGAGCAUUCUUUCAGUGGGGAGCAGUUCGAGUCUGUGAUCAUAACAGAGCAUUAACUCGCUUUAUGGCAUAUGCUGGGCUAUUCCUCAUGUUCUGUCCCAGAGUAGGCAGCUGUCUCUACCAAUAAAUCUCAUGAAAUUCGCCACUUUGGGGGAAAUCAUGUUCUUAGAACUUUGAGGGAAAAAUUAAAAGUCUGCUGUAUCUUAAAGAAGUUCAGAGCAAGGCACAUUAACAUCUUACUUAGUAUGCUGUGCCUCAUGCUUCUCUGUAAGGAUUCCGGCGAGCCACGGCUAAUCUUUGGGCACAUUGCAAAUCAUUCGUUUUCUGAACUUGGUGAAAGUGAGACUGCAGAGCUUCCACCUCUUCUGGGGUUUGACAGAGACCACUGGUGUUGACAGAGAACUUAGCAGGACAUAAGGAUCCCAGGACCCUUUUUGGUCCCAGCAUCCCUUUAUUUGGAAUGCUCUAUUUGAUCCUUUGGGACUGGAGGUUUCCUAGUGUCAUGAAGGGGCAGACAGCCAGAGACUAACACGAGGCAUAAGGUGGCCCAAUUUAAAUUUUUAUUAUUUUAUUUAUUUAAUCCCUUUUUGGAUGUUUUGAAACUGAAGUUAUAGCUAACAAGAACAGUCAGUAGGUGACUGUUGGGGUGGGGGUGGGAUGCAGUAUGGGAAUGGGCUGCAUCCAGAAGCUGACAGGAUUGGCGCUUGUUCCCAGACUCUCUCUGUUCUCAGUGCUGCUUUUCCUGCAAAUGCAUCGUUGGCCAAUUUUCCCAGUCAGCCCUGUCCUCUGGCAACUCAAUUCAGGGGCUGUGUGGAGGAGGCCGACUUGCCACCGAGGGCCAGCAGCAACUGUGGGAGAACUGAUUAGCUUUUAAGAGCAGACCUCCACCAGACAGGCAGGAGUCUAAAGAGUAAAUAGAGGUGCUGGCCCUGGAUUUUUUUUUUUCAGGCCCCAGAGAGAUUUGUUCAGCAGCGUCUGAAUUCCUAUAGAAAAGCUCCGAGAAACUCUAAAUUAAACUAAGCUGACCCCUUUCACAACCUACGUUAUUUACAGUUCACAGGGCUUUGGAGAGUUCUAGUUUGCAUGCAGUUGGAAAUAGGUCCCCAGUUGGCAGAGGUGGCCCAUUUGCAUCACACUACCUUGCUUUCCUUUGGUGUGCAGAAAGCUCUGAAAUGGGAGCCAAAAGAUGCUGUCCAGUUGUAAACAUGCCUUUGUUUUCACAGCGAAAGGAAGGCUCUGGUAGAAAUCACCAAGAGAGCUAGCUACUAGAAAGCAAACAACCGAGUCCUCUAUAAUUAAGUGCAUUCCUCAGAAUAAUAACUAAGUACCAGGAAGGAAAUCAAGAAACACUCCCUCCCCAGCAUUGCAGCUGAUGUCUUUUGCACUUCUAACAAAAAGACCUGGCACUGAUUACAGUGCUCAGUUUCCCCAUCUCGCUCCUUCCUGGAAAAGCAACUAAAGCUAAGCAUCUUUCAGCGCCUGGGGUCUGGCUAGUAUCAGAGUAAAAGGAACAGUUAGAUCAAGUUCGUUCAUCAUUUAUCGCCUUAGCCUUGGUCCUGGUGUGGCACUGCUUUGUGUCAUGGUAAGAUAGGGUAAUGUUGAAAGGGAGGUGUGUACCUCUCUUUCCCAAGACUGAUGAAUGAGCUUGCCUGCUAGGUAGGAAACAUUCAUCAGGCAAAGGAGAACAAUUACUUUACCAAGAUAAAAGUCUGGUUUCAAUCAUGAUUACUGGAAUUGGAGUAAGUGAAGGGACCAGUUGACUCAUCCUAUCUCAGAAAUAAAUGAGAUAGAUUUGUCCCCACUCCUUUCUUGCAGCUCAGAGCAAGCCUAUCACUGUCCUAGUAGGCAAGCACACAAGGUGUGGGUGUCAGGGCUGAUAAUGGUUUGAGGACAGCAGAAGAAGAGGGCCAACUAGCAAAACAAUGGCAAAACAGAGAGGGGCUACAGCUGGGCCUUCCAGAGAUUUCCACUUUACUUGGAAAACAUGAUAAAUAUGCAGGAAGAAGAUAGAGAAACACAGUCAAGCAGAAAAAUGUGCCAUCACACCUGACGCAGCAGCACUCAAGGAAACAGCAGGUAGACUAAAGACUGGAUGGAGGGACGGCAGCUGACCAAGCGCUUCAGAGAUGCUGUUGCGACAGAAGUAUUCUGCUGGAAAUUCACUGCCCGCCAUCACCUGGAAGGAAACCAUAUGACGCGAGGUGUCUGUCUUCUCAGUUCUUCAGGCCAUGGCAGCUUCCUUCUUUUGAUGACCUUGACAACGGGUGGAUAGUGGUCAGGAAUUAUGUAGAAGGUUGCUGCUGAGUCUGCAUGGCUGUGUACUCCCCCUCCCCCCAAUCCUAAUUCAUAAAGGAAUGGUAUCAGCAGAUGGGGCCUUGUGAGAACGGACCAGACCACAAGACUUCUGCCUUCAUGAUUAGUCCCAGGAACGAUAGCAGGAAUUCCAGAGUGGACUCUGCAGUUCCUUCACCAGGUACUCAAAGUCCAAGGGGUUUCCAGUACCAAGAAAAUUACAAGGUUGCAAGAUUAGCGUGACACAUCCCGGGGUCAAACUGCAGGAAGGAAAAGCUAGCACAUUAAAGGUGAUCUUCAAAUAGACCCUAACAUUAAAAUGACCUCCAGCAGGAAUCCCAUGGCUGGGCCCAUAUCCAAAUGAAAUAAAGUCAGUAAGUAUGUCAAAGACUUA